GCCCAGUUUUUUGUAGUUAACUACCAUGUUCGUUAACUACUGACAUGAUUAUUAUAGUGACACAUGUCUCACUAUCAGUAAUCCACUUCAUAUUUUUUUUUAAAUAAGAAAAAUAAUUAAAAAUAAAUUUAUAUAAUAAAAAAGGAAAAUAUCUAAUUAAUUAAAAAAAUCAAAAACCUUUUUUUUUUUUCUUUCUUUUUUUUCUCUCCCCUUCUGAUCGUCCCACUUUCUUUUUCUUUUCUUUUUUUUCUCUCUCCUUCGAUCUAGUCCCCCGACUUCUUCUUCUUCUUGUGGACUGCACUUAUCGGACCUCUGCAAAUCACUCAACCCUAUAAGAUUAAACCUGAGAAAUUUCACCUCUCUUUGAUCGUCAAUGGAGAGCUUAUGCCGGCGACGACUGCAGCACGACGGACAUGGUAGUUCAAUCGAGAACUAUGACGUCGGGAGGUUAAGGUCGACGAAUAGAUCUUGAAGAGUGAUUUUUUUUGUGUUGAUCUUGAGAUUUGUGGGUUUCAACAAAUCUUGGAGGGUGGACAAACUUGGGUUUGGAAUGGCAAUGCACCUGUUUGAAUUUGGGUUCUUUAAUGUUGCAGCUCUUGGGUUUUUACAGGUUCUGCUGAAUCUGUUUGAAUCUGCAACUUAUGGGUUAUUAAUUUUGAAUGUUUUAAUUCUGGGUUCAUAUCUGUCUUUUUGUCAUGGGCUUUAGAUUUGUGGGUUUCAGCAGAUCUUGGAGGGUUGAUGAACUUGGAUUUGAGGCGAUGCACCUGUUUGAAUCUGGGCUAUUUAAUGUUGCAACUCUUGGGUUUUUACACAAUCUGAUGAAUCUAUUUGAAUCAGCAACUUAUGGGCUCUUUAAUGCUUUUGAGUUUAAACCUAUUUUCAAUAUGAUGUUUGAGGGUUAAUCGAACGAUGGCACAGAGUCAUGAGUUAGUUGGAGGCUUUGGGUGUUAAAGGGUGCGGAAUGUCUGUAACCACAUUGAUUAGUUGAUUUGUAUAGAAUUAUAAAUUGAUAGUU